AUUGAACGCUGGCGGCAUGCUUUACACAUGCAAGUCGAGCGGUAACAGGCCGCAAGGUGCUGACGAGUGGCGAACGGGUGAGUAAUGCAUCGGAACGUGCCCAGUCGUGGGGGAUAACGCAGCGAAAGCUGCGCUAAUACCGCAUACGAUCUGGGGAUGAAAGCGGGGGACCGUAAGGCCUCGCGCGAUUGGAGCGGCCGAUGUCAGAUUAGGUAGUUGGUGGGGUAAAGGCUCACCAAGCCAACGAUCUGUAGCUGGUCUGAGAGGACGACCAGCCACACUGGGACUGAGACACGGCACAGACUCCUACGGGAGGCAGCAGUGGGGAAUUUUGGACAAUGGGCGCAAGCCUGAUCCAGCAAUGCCGCGUGCAGGAAGAAGGCCUUCGGGUUGUAAACUGCUUUUGUACGGAACGAAAAGGCUCUGGUUAAUACCUGGGGCUCAUGACGGUACCGUAAGAAUAAGCACCGGCUAACUACGUGCCAGCCGCCGCAGUAACAC
rnacentral:rRNA from 1 species